rnacentral:miRNA from 1 species
GACAAGCGUGGUGUGUGUGUGUGUGUGUGUGUGUGUGUGUGUGUGCGCGUGCGUGUUCACACACA